UGGUCUUUGUUAAUGAAGAACUGGAGUGCUGGUAUAGAAAAGUAGCACAGAGGGAUGUAUUGUACAGGACAGAGGUUGCACUCAGGUCCUAGAUCUAAUCUGCUUGCCUUUAAGCCAUACUGUCUGAGGAGUACAGGUUACUGCUUCUCAGCUAACAGCCAUGCCUACUCUUGGACUCAUUUUCUGGGUUUCCUGUAUUUCUUUACCAUUUGAUAGUAAUGGUGGUUCACCAACUAUAAAAGGCUAUGGGCAUAGAUAUAGAUAUAUGUAUCCAAAUAAAGCAGAGCCACGUGACCUAGUGGAUGAUGGAGAUGAUGAUAUUUUGACCUCUGAUCAGGGUAACCAGCAGGCUGCAGACAACCAGCAAGCUGGAUUUGUGUACAAAAGCUAUAACAAACGUUCGACUAAACAGCAGCAGACUCGACAAAAACAAGCGAACCCACAAAUCGCACCAAAGAUAGAGGGACUUGUUAAUGGUGAGACAAGACAAUGAGGGCUAGUAAACCUUAAUGAGCCACUCCUAUUCCCUUGAAAGUCCAGCUCUGAGGUAGCUAACCUAGCAAAGCCCAAAUUAGCUGCUGUAAUGCCUCGCUCUGCGUCAUUUGUUUAUGCAAGCACUAUGCCCCUCUCGACAAGCAGUGGUCAAACUGCAUACUAUGAGCCUGCUUCAUCCUCAACCUUUCAGGCUGUGGCACCUCGCAGCUAUGAGUCCUGGCAGCCUGAACCAGUGAGCAAUGGUAAUGGGGUGGCUGAUUCAGGUUUUGAUUACCCAGGCCAGGACGUCGGCACAGUCUCCAGUGGAUAUAGCUAUCGUUCAAGAAAGAAACCCAGUCUUGUGUUUGAGGAAGUAUUUCGGUAUCCCUCUGAAAACUCCCAGCCUCAAAGUACUGGUCCUGGCACUAAUGAUUAUGGCCGAUUACAUGAGCAGGGGGUCUGCAACUGGGCAAACCUUCACAUCAGUGAAGCCAUCCUCUCCGAGUAACGUACGAGCCCAGCCUUUUUCUCAGUCUUGGAGGGGGGUUCUUGCUUUUUCGAAGUUCUUUGGAGGCAGGAAGCUUAAAUUUAAUAAGAUGCUCCCCCGGCCACAAAAUGCAGUGUUCAGCCCCCCGUGGGUCCAGGUUCCCUCAAGGGUCAAGGUUUACCAGAGUGUCAUGGCUCCGUCAAGAGGUUAUCAACCGAUCUUUCAUAACCCACAUCCUUCAAGAUAUAUUGUCCGGUCCAGAAGCAGCUACCAGAGAGGAAGGUAUGUCCAAAGCAAAACCAGAUACACUCCGGAUUAUCCUCCCAAUGGCAUGGAAGGUGUCGAACGGCCUGCACAGAGCUAAUCAGCCGAACUGUUUGGCAUGGGAGUACACUCAAAGAUAUGCUCAUGCUUAUUUCAAACAAAACUUGGAAAAUGCUGACCAUUGAAAUGAUUGUCCAGGAUAUUAAAACUAAAUGUUUAAUGUUUGAAAUACUCUAACAGUUCAAAGUUUCUGAUCUGCAAAUACUAACUUCUGCUUU